AAUGGUAUCAGUGGUAGGGGAGCGUUCUAAGGACAGUGAAGUCAGACCGUAAGGACUGGUGGAGUGCUUAGAAGUGAGAAUGCCGGUAUGAGUAGCGAAAGACGGGUGAGAAUCCCGUCCACCGAAUGCCUAAGGUUUCCUGAGGAAGGCUCGUCCGCUCAGGGUUAGUCAGGACCUAAGCCGAGGCCGACAGGCGUAGGCGAUGGACAACAGGUUGAUAUUCCUGUACCACCUCUUUAUCGUUUGAGCAAUGGAGGGACGCAGAAGGAUAGAAGAAGCGUGCGAUUGGUUGUGCACGUCCAAGCAGUUAGGCUGAUAAGUAGGCAAAUCCGCUUAUC
rnacentral:rRNA from 2 species